GAUGAACGCUGGCGGCGUGCCUAAUACAUGCAAGUCGAGCGAACAGAUGAGGAGCUUGCUCCUCUGACGUUAGCGGCGGACGGGUGAGUAACACGUGGAUAACCUACCUAUAAGACUGGGAUAACUUCGGGAGACCGGAGCUAAUACCGGAUAAUAUAUUGAACCGCAUGGUUCAAUAGUGAAAGACGGUUUUGCUGUCACUUAUAGAUGGAUCCGCGCCGCAUUAGCUAGUUGGUAAGGUAACGGCUUACCAGGGCAACGAUGCGUAGCCGACCUGAGAGGGUGAUCGGCCACACUGGAACUGAGACACGGUCCAGACUCCUACGGGAGGCAGCAGUAGGGAAUCUUCCGCAAUGGGCGAAAGCCUGACGGAGCAACGCCGCGUGAGUGAUGAAGGUCUUCGGAUCGUAAAACUCUGUUAUUAGGGAAGAACAAAUGUGUAAGUAACUAUGCACGUCUUGACGGUACCUAAUCAGAAAGCCACGGCUAACUACGUG
rnacentral:rRNA from 1 species